UCCCACACUGGGCUUGGAUUGUACAUGUAAAGGGUGAAAAGUGGAGCUGAGGUUGUGUGUAGAAAGGUCCCACACUGGGCUUGGAUCUUACAUGCAAAGCAAGGCUCCAGUGCAGUGUGUGUUGUGUUUCCUAGCAUAGGAUGAGUUAAUCUGUGUGGGUUUGGUUCUGUUUGGGCUGAUGGUAAAUGGAUUUUGUUCCCAAGUUUUUCAUGGCAUCUGAUGUUUGAAGCAAAUAGAUUGGGCAAAGUGAGGUCAUUUGGCUCGGUUAGAUGUGGUGCAGCCUGAUUGCAAUUAUCAGCACUUAACCACCCUUCUGAAAGGGCUGAUCUGGCCUCAGCAUUAAGGACCAUUCUGAGGGUAACCUCUCUAUGUUCAGAACACUUCAGUAUUUCUUUUUCAUUUCAUCAUUACAUUCCUCAAUAAUGGCAAAAAGAAAGAAUUAUGGUGCAGAAGGUGUGAUGGAACAAAAAUGAUGCAGAAGGUUUGAGAGAAUAAAAAUGAUGCAAAGGGUUUGGCCAAACCAAAAGUGAUGCAAAAGGUUUGGCCAAACAAAAAUAUGAUGCAAAAGGUUUGGCAAAAGAAAAAAGAAGGCAAAAGGUUUAGGGGUGAAAAAGUGAUGCAAAAGGUCUGGCCAGGCAAAAAAUGAUGAUGCAAAAAGGUCUGGCCAGGCAAAAAAUGAUGAUGCAAAAAGGUCUGGCCAGGCAAAAAAUGAUGAUGCAAAAAGGUCUGGCCAGGCAAAAAAUGAUGAUGCAAAAAGGUCUGUCGAAACUGUAAGCAGCUGUCCCUGUGGAGGAGAAUCUUUGUUGGCUGUUUAGCAUCACUUCAGAGUGUCAUUAGCUGUGAGGAUGCCAUCAAGCAGAAGUGUUCUGCUAUUCAAUUUCAGUGUGACUCCCCUGAAAGAGCCUUUUCCCCCACCCCUCACUCUCUGGCCACGUAUUCUUCUUGCUCCUCUCUUCCCCCCUAAAGCCAGACUCCUUCCUGGAGGCUUUCUGCAGAGCUGCUUCAGGGGCGCCCUCACGCACCCCUCCCUUGGAAUUCUCUCUGCGGGUCUGUGUCAGUUUGGGUGGAACAGUCUGAAGAUGUCAUUCUGAAAAGAACAAAGAAGCUUUUCCUCCCCGUUUCAGACAGUGGUUUGCAACCAGCAGUGCACAGGAAGCGAUGCUAUCGGGUUGCUAUCUCUAAGAGCUCAGCUUUACCCUCAUCUUAGCACUUCUGCUGCCUUCCGUAUCUUAAUGCUGGCAUUAAGAUCACAAACCCCCUCCUCACCUCCCCCCCCCCCCCUUCUUUUCCCCCUCUUGCUCUUUAAAGUGCAGGUUUAAGUUAUUGAUGCAAUUGGAUGUGUUUCCUGGUUGCUGUUUCAGCUGAAGUUGCAUCAUCUUCCUUGAACUCAUCUGCUGUGAUAAGAGUUGCCUUAAGCUGCAGGAUUGCUUUUUUGCUACCUUUUCUUCUGGUGGUUGUUGUAUGUUUUAACUUUUCAUAAUAAACUUCUGUGUAGUGAAAAAA